UUAGUUAAAGACAGCUUUACCUUACUGCUCAGGAAUGCUCUGUUUGAAGCAGACCCAGCUAAUCCGGUUGGACCACAUCUACCGUUGAAUUCAACUGCGCUUUCAGUUAGGGCCCAAACUAACUACUGAAAUCUCCUUUUUCUGUCACUUCUGUCUGUGACAAUUUUGGAAACCUGCCUCCACCCGAGCAAUUUGCCCAAGCCCUACCACCGAUCCGCU